rnacentral:tRNA from 1 species
GCGAGGAUGGCGGAACUGGUAGACGCGCCAGACUUAGGAUCUGGUAUCGAAAGAUGUGAGGGUUCAAGUCCCUUUCCUCGCA